UCUAUAAAUUUAGUAGACAGUUCGAAAGAGAGAAUGCUACUUUGGUCUUUAUUUUGAAUAAUUUUGACUGUCGUCAUUACCUUACUCUGACUUUAUUACACUAAUAAUAACACUCCAAGUUUAAAAUUACUAAUAAAGAAAAAAAAAUCAAUGUAUUCAAAGACAAACUACACUAUAUUCGAACCAAGAGCAUGGAGGGAAGAAAUAAAUUACUUAGAAAUUGCUAAAAAUUGUAAAAGAAAAUCUUCUAAGAUGAUAGAUACUUUUUACCAGAUAUUCGAACCAAGAGACUGGAUGGAAGAAAUAAAUUACUUAAAACUUGUUAAAAAUUGUAAUACAAAAUCUUGUAAGAUGUUAGGUAUGAAUUUAAAUCCAGGCAAACCUACUUAAAGUAUUGUAUAUAAAUUAUUUCUUGAUGUCGUUUUCUAAAUUAAGUAAUAAAAUGUACAUAGUAGACAGUUGAA